rnacentral:rRNA from 1 species
UGAGGAAUAUUGGUCAAUGGGCGAGAGCCUGAACCAGCCAAGUAGCGUGAAGGAUGACUGCCCCAUGGGUUGUAAACUUCUUUUAUAAAGGAAUAAAGUCGGGUAUGGAUACCCGUUUGCAUGUACUUUAUGAAUAAGGAUCGGCUAACUCCGUGCC